AGCGAACGCUGGCGGCAGGCCUAACACAUGCAAGUCGAGCGCCCAGCAAUGGGAGCGGCAGACGGGAGAGUAACACGUGGGAACAUGCCCUUCAGUACGGAACAACCAAGGGAAACUUUGGCUAAUACCGUAUACGCCCGUAAGGGGAAAGAUUUAUCGCUGAAGGAUUGGCCCGCGUCUGAUUAGCUAGUUGGUGGGGUAAUGGCCCACCAAGGCGACGAUCAGUAGCUGGUCUGAGAGGAUGAUCAGCCUCACUGGGACUGAGACACGGCCCAGACUCCUACGGGAGGCAGCAGUGGGGAAUAUUGGACAAUGGGCGCAAGCCUGAUCCAGCCAUGCCGCGUGAGUGAUGAAGGCCUUAGGGUUGUAAAGCUCUUUCGUCAGGGAAGAUAAUGACGGUACCUGAAGAAGAAGCCCCGGCUAACUUCGUGCCAGCAGCCGCCGUAACAC
rnacentral:rRNA from 1 species